CCAAGUUAGUGAGCUGCAAUUUGUCUUUAUGCUUGUGAAAGGUAAUCAUUGUGUAUCAUCGUAUGAUGUCAAAGUGAACAGAUUUAUAGGAAAAGACAUUAAUUCAUUGAGGAGGAUACAAUAGAGAAAAGUGUGCAGUGGCUUGAUACAGGAUAUAGACCAGCACAAUAGCAAGGUGUUAUUUCAAUACAAAGAUAACCAGCACAUAAAAUAUGAGGAGGGAAAUCUAAAGAUUGAACAACAUAAAACCACCUAAAGCUCACUGCACUAAGGGGAGAAAUAAAGUGUUGU